UACAAAAGUUGGGACUAUCGAUGAU
rnacentral:piRNA from 1 species